UUGGUCGAAGCCAAAAAGAGGCUAAUCAUUGUUAAUGAUUUAAUUGGGUUUCCCGGUCAAU
rnacentral:tRNA from 1 species